GAUGAAGAACGUAGCGAAAUGCGAUACGUAAUGUGAAUUGCAGAAUUCAGUGAAUCAUCGAGUCUUUGAACGCACAUUGCGCCCCCUGGUAUUCCGGGGGGCAUGCCUGUCCGAGCGUCAUUGCUGCCCUCAAGCACGGCUUGUGUGUUGGGCCUCCGUCCUCCUCCCGGGGGACGGGCCCGAAAGGCAGCGGCGGCACCGCGUCCGGUCCUCGAGCGUAUGGGGCUUCGUCACCCGCUCUUGUAGGCCCGGCCGGCGCUUGCCGACACAUCAAUCUUUUUUCCAGGUUGACCUCGGAUCAGGUAGGGAUACCCGCUGAACUUAAGCAUUUCAAUAAGCGGAGGA
rnacentral:misc_RNA from 1 species